UGGAAGUAAAAGUCGUAACAAGGUUUCCGUAGGUGAACCUGCGGAAGGAUCAUUAACGCGCAGGCCGGAGGCUGGCCCCCCACGAUAGGAAUCAACGUUCCAUCAGGGGUGUGCAGAUGUGCGCCGGUCUUACGCCCCAUUCUUGUCUACCUUACUCGGUUGCCUCGGCGGGCCGCGCUCUCCUGGGAGAGUCGUCCGGCGAGCCUCUUUGGGGGCUUUAGCUGGAUCGCGCCCGCCGGAGGACAGACAUCAAAAAAUCUUGGAAAGCUGUCAGUCUGAGCGUUAGCAAGUAAAAUUAGUUAAAACUUUCAACAACGGAUCUCUUGGUUCCGGCAUCGAUGAAGAACGCAGCGAAAUGCGAUAAGUAAUGUGAAUUGCAGAAUUCCGUGAAUCAUCGAAUCUUUGAACGCACAUUGCGCCCUCUGGUAUUCCGGGGGGCAUGCCUGUUCGAGCGUCAUUUCAACCCCUCAAGCCCGGCUUGUGUGAUGGACGACCGUCCGACCUCCUCUUUCGGGGGCGGGACGCGCCCGAAAAGCAGUGGCCAGGCCGCGAUCCCGGCUUCCUGGGCGAAUGGGCAGUCAAACCAGCGCCCUCAGGACCGGCCGCUCUGGCCUUCCCCCAAAUCUCUCUGAGAUAUUUUUUCAGGUUGACCUCGGAUCAGGUAGGGAUACCCGCUGAACUUAAGCAUAUCAAUAAGCGGAGGAA
rnacentral:misc_RNA from 1 species